rnacentral:rRNA from 1 species
UGGGGAAUAUUGGACAAUGGGCGAAAGCCUGAUCCAGCCAUGCCGCGUGUGUGAAGAAGGUCUUCGGAUUGUAAAGCACUUUAAGUUGGGAGGAAGGGCAGUAAGCGAAUACCUUGCUGUUUUGACGUUACCGACAGAAUAAGCACCGGCUAACUCUGUGCCAGCAGCCGCGGUAAUACAGAGGGUGCGAGCGUUAAUCGGAUUUACUGGGCGUAAAGCGUGCGUAGGCGGCUAAUUGAGUCGGAUGUGAGAUCCCCGAGCUUAACUUGGGAAUUGCAUUCGAUACUGGUUAGCUAGAGUGUGGGAGAGGAUGGUAGAAUUCCAGGUGUAGCGGUGAAAUGCGUAGAGAUCUGGAGGAAUACCGAUGGCGAAGGCAGCCAUCUGGCCUAACACUGACGCUGAGGUACGAAAGCAUGGGGAGCAAACAGG